rnacentral:lncRNA from 1 species
GUGAGCUCCGUGUGGCAGGGAACUGAGGCCUCCUGCCAACCGCGGCAAAAUGAGGCAUGAGGGAUGGUAUGUGCCUCCCGGCGGGCUGUGGCCCCCUCAACAUCUCGAAGUAGAAGACACGUCGCCGUUAAUCCCCCUCGCCUGGAACACAUGGAUCCAUCGUUCUUGCCACAGUCGUGAAGCAGCUCUGCGGGCCUCUUUCAUGUCUUUACCACGUGUGGUCCCAACUGGGGUGAAUGCUGCCACCGAGUGCCACCCGGCGGAAAGGCAGGCGCAUGACAACACGACGCUGUGUCAUCUACCUCAUGCUCUCAAGCUGCCACCAGGUGACUUCCGGCUCGUCCCCAAACUCAAAAUGACAUGAAAGGGAAACGUUCUGAAUUGGUUCAGGACAGUGAGGCUGCCGUGGCAAGUGCAACCCACGACACUCAGGAAAGAAGACUCCAGAACGGCUGCAGAAAGCGACACGAAUGGUGGGACAAAUGUGGUCGAAGCAGGGGAUUAAAAUGGUGCCUAAAACAAGAA